UUCACACUGUAGCUCUGUUUCCAGAUUAACAAUGCAAGGGACAAGAAUCUUCAUCUUGAUGGCUAUUCUGGGACUGAUCUUUAUUAUGAAUGAAGCUUUGGCAGUAUACGUAGGAUGCAUGAUUUCUCCUGAAGAAAGAAAAGAAUGUGGAAUGUUAAACAUAUCUUUAUCUGCUUGCCACAUGAAAGGAUGUUGUUUUGAUGCUUGUUUACAACAGAAAAGAGAAAAAGCAUGGUGUUUCCAUCCAAGAACGUAAGAUCCGGUGCCAUCCUCUGCAAACUGCAAGCAAUCUGACACAGACUCAAGCAGAGGAUGAACAUAUCUAUGAUCGUUAUCAAAAAUCACCUUGAACUAACAGCUUGCUUUUGUAACUGUGCUAUAUUAAAUGAAUAAAAAUAAUUAUCUAUGAAGUGGUUUGGUACACUUAUCUUACUUGCAUUUUAGCCAAUUAGUGCAGUGUCAGCCACAACUCCAUGGGCGUGAGCACAAUGUUAUAUAUAUAUGUACCACAUGGAUUAGCAAUCUCUUGUUGUGAAAAGCUAAUAAAAAAGCAUGUGAUAA